rnacentral:rRNA from 1 species
UCCCUUAGUAGCGGCGAGCGAACAGGGAUCGAGCCCAGCGCCGAAUUCCGCGUCUCAAAGGGCGUUUGGAACAUGUGGCGUUUAGGAGGAAUCUCUCCGAGGGCAGACGGUGUCGCAAGUCCCCCUGAACGGGGCUGUGAUCCAGAGCGGGUGCGAGGCCCAUAGCUGGUACCGUCUCCUUUGGGUGUCCCCUCCUUGGAGUCGGGUUGCUUGGGAGUGCAGCCCUAAUUGGGUGGUAAACUCCACCUAAGGCUAAAUACGUCCGUGAGACCGAUAGCAAACAAGUACCGUGAGGGAAAGUUGCAAAGAACUUUGAAGAGAGAGUUCAAGAGUACGUGAAACCGCUCAGAGGCAAACGGGUGGGCCCACGAAAGCCGAAGGCGGGGGGAUUCAGUCGAGAGGACGGUGGGGCAGGACUGGCUGGUUGGACGGACCGUGCCAGGCCGGGUCAGUUCCCGAGAUCUGCCGCCUUUCGACGCAUUUCCCCCUGCUUAGUAGGACGCCGCAACCGGUUGGCGCUGCAGCCAUAAGGGAGAGUAAAUGGAAGGUAGCCAGUGAGUUCUUCUUCGGAGGCGCGAGCUGGUCCUAAGCCGACUCUCCUGGUGCUUGUGGCCCGACCGUGGUCGUGAGUCCCUCAACGGGAUGUCGCCGAGCCCUCUGACUGGAGCGGGAGAAGUGGCAGGCUGCUUUCCGCGGAAAAAAUCGAUCGCUUCACGCGUGCAGUGGGCGAUCUCCGGAGGYAGCUGCUGGUGCGUUUUUCUCCUGCGCUGGGCACAGGCAGUUGGCGGCGAGUAGGUCGGUCACCCACCCGACCCGUCUUGAAACACGGACCAAGGAGUCUAACAUGUGCGCGAGUCAUUGGGUCUUGAACAAGCCCAAAGGCGCAAUGAAAGUGAAGACCAGCACUGAAGCUGGUGGAGUUGGGAAACUGUGUCACUGAAGAUGCAGUUGCACCAACGGCCCGUCCCGUCCGCAUUGUCGGUGGGGCGGAGCGAGAGCGUACACGUUGGGACCCGAAAGAUGGUGAACUAUGCCUGGGCAGGACGAAGCCAGAGGAAACUCUGGUGGAGGUCCG